rnacentral:rRNA from 1 species
GUUAAGCGACUAAGCGUACACGGUGGAUGCCCUGGCAGUCAGAGGCGAUGAAGGACGUGCUAAUCUGCGAUAAGCGUCGGUAAGGUGAUAUGAACCGUUAUAACCGGCGAUUUCCGAAUGGGGAAACCCAGUGUGAUUCGUCACACUAUCAUUAACUGAAUCCAUAGGUUAAUGAGGCGAACCGGGGGAACUGAAACAUCUAAGUACCCCGAGGAAAAGAAAUCAACCGAGAUUCCCCCAGUAGCGGCGAGCGAACGGGGAGCAGCCCAGAGCCUGAAUCAGUGUGUGUGUUAGUGGAAGCGUCUGGAAAGGCGCGCGAUACAGGGUGACAGCCCCGUACACAAAAAUGCACAUGCUGUGAGCUCGAUGAGUAGGGCGGGACACGUGGUAUCCUGUCUGAAUAUGGGGGGACCAUCCUCCAAGGCUAAAUACUCCUGACUGACCGAUAGUGAACCAGUACCGUGAGGGAAAGGCGAAAAGAACCCCGGCGAGGGGAGUGAAAAAGAACCUGAAACCGUGUACGUACAAGCAGUGGGAGCACAGAGCAAUCUGUGUGACUGCGUACCUUUUGUAUAAUGGGUCAGCGACUUAUAUUCUGUAGCAAGGUUAACCGAAUAGGGGAGCCGAAGGGAAACCGAGUCUUAACUGGGCGUUAAGUUGCAGGGUAUAGACCCGAAACCCGGUGAUCUAGCCAUGGGCAGGUUGAAGGUUGGGUAACACUAACUGGAGGACCGAACCGACUAAUGUUGAAAAAUUAGCGGAUGACUUGUGGCUGGGGGUGAAAGGCCAAUCAAACCGGGAGAUAGCUGGUUCUCCCCGAAAGCUAUUUAGGUAGCGCCUCGUGAAUUCAUCUCCGGGGGUAGAGCACUGUUUCGGCAAGGGGGUCAUCCCGACUUACCAACCCGAUGCAAACUGCGAAUACCGGAGAAUGUUAUCACGGGAGACACACGGCGGGUGCUAACGUCCGUCGUGAAGAGGGAAACAACCCAGACCGCCAGCUAAGGUCCCAAAGUCAUGGUUAAGUGGGAAACGAUGUGGGAAGGCCCAGACAGCCAGGAUGUUGGCUUAGAAGCAGCCAUCAUUUAAAGAAAGCGUAAUAGCUCACUGGUCGAGUCGGCCUGCGCGGAAGAUGUAACGGGGCUAAACCAUG